rnacentral:rRNA from 1 species
AGAUUGAACGCUGGCGGCAUGCCUUACACAUGCAAGUCGAACGGCAGCACGGGAGCAAUCCUGGUGGCGAGUGGCGAACGGGUGAGUAAUACAUCGGAACGUGCCCAAUCGUGGGGGAUAACGCAGCGAAAGCUGUGCUAAUACCGCAUAAGAUCUACGGAUGAAAGCAGGGGAUCGCAAGACCUUACGCGAAUGGAGCGGCCGAUGGCAGAUUAGGUAGUUGGUGAGGUAAAGGCUCACCAAGCCUUCGAUCUGUAGCUGGUCUGAGAGGACGACCAGCCACACUGGGACUGAGACACGGCCCAGACUCCUACGGGAGGCAGCAGUGGGGAAUUUUGGACAAUGGGCGCAAGCCUGAUGCAGCAACGCCGCGUGAGGACGAAGGCCUCGGUUGUAACUCUUUAGUAGGAAGAAGCGAAAGUGACGGUACUGACAGAAAAAGCAACCGGCUAACUACGUAGCAGACAGCCGCGGUAA